rnacentral:rRNA from 1 species
UGCCAGCCGCCGCGGUAACACGGGGGGCGCAAGCGUUAUUCGGAAUUAUUGGGCGUAAAGGGCGCGCAGGCGGUCUUGUCCGUCAGGUGUGAAAGCCCAGGGCUCAACCCUGGAAUUGCAUUCGAUACUGCAUAACUAGAGUAUGGUAGAGGGAAGUGGAAUUUCCGGUGUAGCGGUGAAAUGCGUAGAUAUCGGAAGGAACACCAGUGGCGAAGGCGACUUCCUGGGCCAAUACUGACGCUGAGGUGCGAAAGCGUGGGGAGCAAACAGGAUUAGAUA